rnacentral:rRNA from 1 species
GUCCACGCCCUAAACGAUGAAUACUCGCUGUUAGCGAUAUACAGUUAGCGGCUAAGCGAAAGCGUUAAGUAUUCCACCUGGGGAGUACGCCCGCAAGGGUGAAACUCAAAGGAAUUGACGGGGGCCCGCACAAGCGGAGGAGCAUGUGGUUUAAUUCGAUGAUACGCGAGGAACCUUACCCGGGCUUGAAAGUUAGUGAAUCAUUUAGAGAUAGAUGAGUGAGCAAUCACACGAAACUAGGUGCUGCAUGGCUGUCGU